rnacentral:rRNA from 1 species
CCCUUAGAUGUUCUGGGCUGCACGCGCGCUACACUGAUGCGCUCAACGAGUUUUAACCUUGCCUGGAAAGGUUGGGUAAUCUUUUUAAAACGCAUCGUGAUGGGGAUAGAUUAUUGCAAUUAUUAAUCUUCAACGAGGAAUUCCUAGUAAGCGCGAGUCAUCAGCUCGUGCUGAUUACGUCCCUGCCCUUUGUACACACCGCCCGUCGCUCCUACCGAUUGAGUAAUCCGGUGAAUAAUUCGGACUGCGGCAUUGACCGGUUCCCGAUCGUUGCUGCGGAAAGUUUAGUGAACCUUAUCACUUAGAGGAAGGAGAAGUCGUAACA